GAUUCGGGGUGCAGCAGGCGCGAAAACUUUACAAUGCGGGAAACCGUGAUAAGGGGACACCGAGUGCCAGCAUCAUAUGCUGGCUGUCCGGGUGUGUAAAAUACACCUGUCAGCAAGGGCCGGGCAAGACCGGUGCCAGCCGCCGCGGUAACACCGGCGGCCCGAGUGGUGAUCGUGAUUAUUGGGUCUAAAGGGUCCGUAGCCGGUUUGGUCAGUCCUCCGGGAAAUCUGACGGCUCAACCGUUAGGCUUUCGGGGGAUACUGCCAGGCUUGGAACCGGGAGAGGUAAGAGGUACUACAGGGGUAGGAGUGAAAUCUUGUAAUCCCUGUGGGACCACCUGUGGCGAAGGCGUCUUACCAGAACGGGUUCGACGGUGAGGGACGAAAGCUGGGGGCACGAACCGGAUUAGAUACCCGGGUAGUCCCAGCCGUAAACGAUGCUCGCUAGGUGUCAGGCAUGGCGCGACCGUGUCUGGUGCCGCAGGGAAGCCGUGAAGCGAGCCACCUGGGAAGUACGGCCGCAAGGCUGAAACUUAAAGGAAUUGGCGGGGGAGCACAAUCACUAGUGAAU
rnacentral:rRNA from 1 species